UACGUAGGGGGCAAGCGUUGUCCGGAAUCAUUGGGCGUAAAGAGCGUGUAGGCGGCUCGAUAAGUCUGCUGUGAAAGUCCAGGGCUCAACCCUGGAAGGCCGGUGGAAACUGUCGGGCUAGAGUCCGGAAGAGGCGAGUGGAAUUCCCGGUGUAGCGGUGAAAUGCGCAGAUAUCAGGAAGAACACCCGUGGCUAAGGCGGUUCUCUAGUACGGUACUGACGCUGAGACGCGAAAGCGUGGGGAGCGAACAGG
rnacentral:rRNA from 1 species